GACGAACGCUGGCGGCGUGCUUAACACAUGCAAGUCGAACGAAGUGGCGAACGGGUGAGUAACGCGUCAUCAACCUGCCCUUCAGAGGGGGACAACAGUUGGAAACGACGGCUAAUACCGCAUACUGAAGGAGGGGAUUGCGUCUGAUUAGCUAGUUGGAGGGGUAACGGCCCACCAAGGCGAUGAUCAGUAGCCGGUCUGGGAGGAUGAACGGCCACAUCGGGACUGAGGAACGGCCCAGACUCCUACUGGAGGCAGCAGUUGGGAAUCUUCCGCAAUGGACGGAAGUCUGACGGAGCAACGCCGCGUGAGUGAUGACGGCCUUCGGGUUUUAAAGCUCUGUUAAUCGGGACGCGGUACCGGAAUAGAAAGCCACGGCUAACUACGUGCCAGCAGCCGCGGUAAUUC
rnacentral:rRNA from 1 species